AUGUACUUGAAUACUGUGAACACAAGAAAGCUGGGUAAGGAAAUAGGGAGUAGCGCUGGAGGCAGGGAGGCAGCUUGUUUAGAUGAAGUGAUCGGGGAAGGCCUCACGGUUGAUGAGGCCACAUUGUAUGAUUUUCACAGGGAGCAACAGGUACAAAGCCGGGCUUCAGCUGGCGUGUUGAGGAUGGCACAGGGAAGAGUAGAAGUCCCAAGAUCAGAGUUUCCUGUGGCGGCCUUCCCAUGGUUUGGUGGCAGCAGUGGGAUCCAAGGUGAGCUUCUGACAGCAUUCAAGGACAAUGAGAAGCACAUGCAUGCUUUUGAACCCUUUUGAGUUCACUGUCUUUCUCACCAUUUCUUAGGCCCCGGGUGAGCUCCUCUUGGUCUGAGCUCUGCUUCUGUUGGGCUGAGCUCCCAAUCCAACGGGGUUUCCAGUCCAGGGUUCAGAGGUCCUUCUAGACUGACAGGAGGAUCUAACAGUGCACGAGGAAAAAGUGGAAAAGUGCCCUUGGUUCAGUCCGCAAUGCUCAACCACUGAGCCACCUAGUUGCCCCCAGGAUUUAUCUCAUUUAAAUGACAACUAAACUCUACUGAAUUACUUUGAUAUACAAAUAACAGUGAUAGUAAACCUUAGAGUGUUCCAUGUCAGGCUCUGUUCUAAUCAUCUGAUUUGUGUUAACGCAUUUAAUCCCCCCAACCCCAGGAGUAGCUGUCAUGAUACUCGCCCAGAGAGGAAGGUGGAGCACAGAGGUCAGCCAGUCAGUAGUGUGCAGGGACUCAGAUCUAGAAGUCUGGUGUCUGAGGCGGAGCUCUAACUCCUAGCUUAAAUGAAUCCACUCUGACAAAACAGAUACUGGGCAGCCCGGGUGGCUCAGCAGUUUAAUGCCGCCUUCAGCCCGGGGCAUGAUCCUGGAGACUCGGGAUCGAGUCCCGCAUCCAGCCCCCUGCAUGGAGCCUGCUUCUCCCUCUGCCUGUGUCUCUGCCUCUCUCUGUGUCUCUAAUGAAUAGAUAAAUAAAAUCUUUAAAAGCUAAUAAUAAUUUAAUUUA
rnacentral:lncRNA from 12 species